rnacentral:rRNA from 1 species
GACGAACGCUGGCGGCGUGCUUAACACAUGCAAGUCGAACGAAGUGGCGAACGGGUGAGUAACGCGUAAUCAACCUGCCCUUCAGAGGGGGACAACAGUUGGAAACGACUGCUAAUACCGCAUACUGAAGGAGGGGAUUGCGUCUGAUUAGCUAGUUGGAGGGGUAACGGCCCACCAAGGCGAUGAUCAGUAGCCGGUCUGAGGGGGAGAACGGCCAACAUUGGACUGAGACAAGGCCCAGACUCCUUCGGGAGGGAGCAGUGGGGAAAUAUCCGCAAUGGAGGGAAGUCUGGAGGAGCAACUGCGCGUGAGUGGUGACGGCCUUGGGGUUGUAAAGCUCUGUUAAGCGGGAAGCGGUACCGGAAUAGAAAGCCACGGCUAACUACGUGCCAGCAGCCGCGGUAAUAC